rnacentral:rRNA from 1 species
UAGUCCACGCCGUAAACGAUGAUUACUAGCUGUUUGUGAUAAACAAUAAGCGGCAAAGCGAAAGCAUUAAGUAAUCCACCUGGGGAGUACGUUGGCAACGAUGAAACUCAAAGGAAUUGACGGGGGCCCGCACAAGCGGUGGAACAUGUGGUUUAAUUCGAUGAUACGCGAGGAACCUUACCUGGGCUUAAAUGGGAGCUGCAUGAUUUAGAAAUAGAUCUUUCUUCGGACUGCUUUCAAGGUGCUGCAUGGUUGUCGUCAGCUCGUGCCGUGAGGUGUCGGGUUAAGUCCCAUAACGAGCGCAACCCCUAUCGUUAGUUGCCAUCAGGUCAAGCUGGGGACUCUAACGAGACUGCCGGUGUAAACCGCGAGGAAGGUGGGGAUGACGUCAAAUCAGCACGGCCCUUACGUCCAGGGCUACACACGUGUUACAAUGGCCAGUACAAAGGGCAGCUACCCGCGACGGGGAUGCGAAUCUCAAAAACUGGUCUCAGUUCGGAUCGGAGUCUGCAACCCG